GGGGGCGGUUACCUCCAUGCUGUUCUCAUGACAGUGAGUGAGUUCUCAUGAGAUCUGAUGGUUUUAUAAGGGGUUUUCCCCCACUUCACUCUGCACUUCUCCUUGUUGCCGUCUUGUAGAGAAGGAUGUGUUUGCUUCCUUUUCCACCAUGAUUCCCGCUGAAUAUGGACUCCAACGGUGCCCUAGGGGAUGGUGGAGCCACCAGAUGGAAGGAGCCUGGUGAUCCCGAGAAGGAGAGAUGCCUCGCUGACCUGAACAUCUUUCCAGAACUGUUAAAUGAAGCCUGCAGGACACCAGCUGACAGUGGAAGGACUGAGGAAGGUUGUAUAAUUUUGUGCAAGGUCCACCACAAAUCCAGCUGAAGAACUGCUCCAAAGUUUAGGUCAUGGCAAGAACAAGACUGGAUCACUCCAUGUCAGUGGAAACAUGUCCACCAACUUCAUCAUUGUCUGUUGUCAUGGUUCACUUUAGAUGUAAACUUGACUGGAUUAAGGAUUCCCUAAAGUGUCAGGCCUCUGAGCCCAAGCUAAGCCAUCAUAUCCCCUGUGACCUGCAUGUACACAUCCAGAUGGCCGGUUCCUGCCUUAACUGACGACAUUCCACCACAAAAGAAGUGAAAAUGGCCUGUUCCUGCCUUAACUGAUGACAUUAUCUUGUGAAAUUCCUUCUCCUGGCUCAUCCUGGCUCCAAAGCUCCCCCACUGAGCACCUUGUGACCCCCACUCCUGCCCACCAGAGAACAACCCCCUUUGACUGUAAUUUUCCUUUACCUUCCCAAAUCUUAUAAAAUGGCCCCACCCCAUCUCCCUUUGCUGACUUUCUUUUCAGACUCAGCCCUCCUGCAACCAGUUGAUUAAAAGCUUUAUUGCUC
rnacentral:lncRNA from 10 species